rnacentral:tRNA from 1 species
GGUCCCAUAGCUCAGUUGGUUAGAGCACCUGACUCAUAAUCAGGUGGUCCCAGGUUCGAGUCCUGGUGGGACCA